AACCAAGUGCAGGAAUGGUGGACAUAACAAGCACGGUUGUGGCCAUAUCAAGAUCAUUGUCUCCUCAAAAUAUCAAAGACUGCCACUCCUAUUUUUCAAUGAUAUAUAUGGGCCCCGAAGCCACAUAGCAGAUAAGGAUACAGCAGUCAAGUUAUUAGAAUAAUUGUAGCGGUUUAUCCCUAUCAAGUGACAGUAGUUUUCUCUAUCAUAAAAAACAAAAAAGUAGCAGUAGUUUUUUGCGUUUUUUGUUGAUAGGGUCAAGUAGCAGUAGUUGGAUUUGAAAUAAACUCAUUCUAUUUUGUAGAGUAGAUAAGGUGAUUACGUUAGUUGUCAUUACUCAUUAGGAUGUUAUUAUAUCAUUAGCCAAUUGUUUCGGCUAUUUUAUACAGA